rnacentral:misc_RNA from 2 species
CAACCCUCAAGCCUGGCUUGGUGAUGGGGCACUGCCUGUGAAAGGGCAGGCCCUGAAAUCUAGUGGCGAGCUCGCCAGGACCCCGAGCGUAGUAGUUACAUCUCGCUCUGGAAGGCCCUGGCGGUGCCCUGCCGUUAAACCCCCAACUUCUGAAA